UGGGGAAUAUUGGACAAUGGGCGAAAGCCUGAUCCAGCCAUGCCGCGUGUGUGAAGAAGGCCCUCGGGUUGUAAAGCACUUUCAGUGGGGAAGAAAGCCUCGGGAUUAAUACUUCCGAGGGAGGACAUCACCCACAAAAAAGCACCGGCUAACUCCGUGCCAGCAGCCGCGGUAAUACGGAGGGUGCGAGCGUUAAUCGGAAUUACUGGGCGUAAAGCGCGCGUAGGCGGUCUGAUCAGCCGGUUGUGAAAGCCCCGGGCUCAACCUGGGAACGGCAUCCGGAACUGUCAGGCUAGAGUGCAGGAGAGGAAGGUAGAAUUCCCGGUGUAGCGGUGAAAUGCGUAGAGAUCGGGAGGAAUACCAGUGGCGAAGGCGGCCUUUCUGGACUGACACUGACACUGAGGUGCGAAAGCGUGGGUAGCAAACA
rnacentral:rRNA from 1 species